CUUACAGAUUUCUUUGGCAUUCUGUCCACCUCCUUCUAUGUAAAUAAGUGUAUCCUGUAUACCUGUAUAUAUGUAUGUAUUGUGUUUUAAAGAGGGAGGUGUGCAUACUGCCAAUAGACAUCUGUUAG
rnacentral:pre_miRNA from 1 species